rnacentral:rRNA from 1 species
UGAGCAAUCUGCCCUUCUCAUCGGAAUAAGCGUUGGAAACGACGUCUAAUGCCGAAUACGACCUCCUUUCGCAUGAUCGGAGGUGGAAAGCUCCGGCGGUGAAGGAUGAGCUCGCGGCCUAUCAGCUUGUUGGUGAGGUAAUAGCUCACCAAGGCGAUGACGGGUAGCCGGCCUGAGGAGGGUGACCGGCCACACGUGGGACUGAGACACGGCCCAGACCUGUACGGGGA